rnacentral:rRNA from 4 species
AAUGACUCUCGGCAACGGAUAUCUCGGCUCUUGCAUCGAUGAAGAACGUAGCGAAAUGCGAUACUUGGUGUGAAUUGCAGAAUCCCGCGAACCAUCAAUUCUUUGAACGCAAGUUGCGCCCGAAGCCAUUCGGCCGAGGGCACGCCUGCCUGGGUGUCG